UACGUAGGGGGCAAGCGUUGUCCGGAUUUAUUGGGCGUAAAGCGCGUGUAGGCGGCCAGGUAGGUCUGGUGUGAAACCUCGAGGCUCAACCUCGAGCGGUCAUCGGAAACCACUUGGCUAGAGUCCGGAAGAGGAGAGUGGAAUUCCCGGUGUAGCGGUGAAAUGCGCAGAUAUCAGGAGGAACACCGGUGGCGAAGGCGGGAUCCUGGGCCGUUGCUGACGCUGAGGCGCGAAAGCUGGGGGAGCGAACAGGAUUAGAUACCCCAGUAGU
rnacentral:rRNA from 1 species